rnacentral:lncRNA from 1 species
UUAUCUUCUGUUGGGAAAUUCCAGCAACAGGGACCUUGUUUCAGAGCUACUGGACUGUAACAUCUGGUGGCGAUCCCUGAAAGAGUAAUCGGCAGAAGCACUGGUUGGAGUUGAGCAGGGGGAACGCAACACCCCACCUCCAACCCCCAAAGCACGAGCUCUCUGAGUUCUUGGAAAGAUUCUGACGUCCAUUGUAGCAGAUAAGUGAAGCUGUCCUCAUCCGGAAA